rnacentral:lncRNA from 1 species
CAAUCUUAAAGUUCAGAAUUCAUUGAGAUUCACAAUAGGAUCUUAGGGUCAACAAAAGGGCUUUUUAGCUGUGUUUGGGGCAAAGAAGAGGAUCAAAGAAGGGAUAAGACUGCUGCAUGAUAUGGAUGGAAAGAUAAAAGUUUAGAAGGUAGAACUAUCCAGUGCUUGUUUUGAUUAUUUCCUUUGCAAAGGAGAAUGAUUUUCAGACCUUGAAGAACAGAAGUAAAAUGAUUAACAGAGAAUGGAAGCCCAAGAUAAGCAAGAUAAUAGUAAAAGAACACUUUGAUGUCCUCAAAAUGUCCAAGAAGUUAGUCCAAGGAAAGUGACAUCCCAAGAUAUAGAAAAGAACAGAAGAGUACACUAAUGCUUUAUCUCCUCAUUCAACUGAUGAUCGGUGCUAUUGGAAUCAGCAGAGCAAUUGUAUUUAUUGAAGCAAGACAUGCAUCUUCCAAUGAUUCCAGAGCCAGAAGCAGGUCUGCCAUGUAUCCUUCAUCAGGGACUGCUCAAUUUUCUACCUUCAGCCUUACACUUAGAAUCUGGAAAAUUGCCAAUGGGACUUUCUCUGAAUUUCAAGUGCUCUUUUGACCCUUAAAAAUACUUGAAGGGAUACCAUUAAAGAGAAUCAGAGUGCCAAUAACAACAGAAAGAACCCAUAUAUUUGUUAAAGGAAUUUAUCUGGGGCACCAGAGACUGGAUCCCAUUGCAGCAGCUUUUCCUGGGUGCUGAAAGCAUUUUGUUGUAUUGAAUUUGGUUUGAAGUAAGUGGACCACUGGCAGGAGGACCAGAAACCUUUUUAUUAUUAUGGCAUUGAUUGCAAAGGGAUUUGACCUGUAUGAACAUCAAAGAUUAAAAAAUAAAAAAACUGAAAAGAUGGUAUUUAUGCCA